rnacentral:rRNA from 1 species
UACGUAGGUGGCAAGCGUUGUCCGGAUUUACUGGGCGUAAAGGGAGCGUAGGUGGAUAUUUAAGUGGGAUGUGAAAUACCCGGGCUUAACCUGGGUGCUGCAUUCCAAACUGGAUAUCUAGAGUGCAGGAGAGGAAAGGAGAAUUCCUAGUGUAGCGGUGAAAUGCGUAGAGAUUAGGAAGAAUACCAGUGGCGAAGGCGCCUUUCUGGACUGUAACUGACACUGAGGCUCGAAAGCGUGGGGAGCAAACAGGAUUAGAAACCCCCUGUAGUCC